UACGUAGGGACCAAGCGUUGUUCGGAUUUACUGGGCGUAAAGGGCGCGUAGGCGGCGUGUUAAGUCAGCUGUGAAAUCUCCAAGCUUAACUUGGAACGGUCAGCUGAUACUGAUGUGCUAGAGUGCAGAAGGGGCAAUCGGAAUUCUUGGUGUAGCGGUGAAAUGCGUAGAUAUCAAGAGGAACACCUGAGGUGAAGACGGGUUGCUGGGCUGACACUGACGCUGAGGCGCGAAAGCUAGGGGAGCAAACGGG
rnacentral:rRNA from 1 species